rnacentral:rRNA from 1 species
UACAGAGGGUGCGAGCGUUGUUCGGAAUUAUUGGGCGUAAAGGGCGCGUAGGCGGUGCGGUAAGUCACCUGUGAAAUCUCCUGGCUCAACUGGGAGCUUGCAGGCGAAACUGCCGUGCUGGAGUGUGGGAGAGGUGCGUGGAAUUCCUGGUGUAGCGGUGAAAUGCGUAGAUAUCAGGAGGAACACCUGUGGCGAAAGCGGCGCACUGGACCACAACUGACGCUGAGGUGCGAAAGCGUGGGGAGCAAACAGG